rnacentral:rRNA from 1 species
GUGGGGAAUAUUGGGCAAUGGGCGAAAGCCUGACCCAGCAACGCCGCGUGAAGGAAGAAGGUUUUCGGAUCGUAAACUUCUAUCCUUGGUGAAGAUAAUGACGGUAGCCAAGAAGGAAGCCCCGGCUAACUACGUGCCAGCAGCCGCGGUAAUACGUAGGGGGCAAGCGUUGUCCGGAAUGAUUGGGCGUAAAGGGCGCGUAGGCGGCCCGGUAAGUCUGAAGUGAAAGUCCUGCUUUUAAGGUGGGAAUUGCUUUGGAUACUGUCGGGCUUGAGUGCAGGAGAGGUAAGCGGAAUUCCCGGUGUAGCGGUGAAAUGCGUAGAGAUCGGGAGGAACACCAGUGGCGAAGGCGGCUUACUGGACAGGUAUUGACGCUGAGGUGCGAAAGCGUGGGGAGCAAACAGGAUUAGAUACCCCUGUAGUCC